UAACGCGAAGAACCUUACCUGGCCUUGACAUCCGCGGAACUUGGCAGAAAUGCCUUGGUGCCUUCGGGAAUCGCGAGACAGGUGCUGCAUGGCUGUCGUCAGCUCGUGUCGUGAGAUGUUGGGUUAAGUCCCGCAACGAGCGCAACCCUUGUCCUUAGUUGCCAUCAUUAAGUUGGGAACUCUAAGGAGACCGCCGGUGACAAACCGGAGGAAGGUGGGGAUGACGUGUAACC
rnacentral:misc_RNA from 1 species